rnacentral:rRNA from 1 species
UACGUAGGGGCAAGCGUUGUCCGGAAUCAUUGGGCGUAAAGCGCGCGUAGGCGGCCGAUAAGUCUGCUGUGAAAGUCCAGGCUCAACCCUGGGAUGCCGGUGGAUACUGUCGGGCUCGAGUCCGGAAGAGGAGUGUGGAAUUCCUGGUGUACGGUGAAAUGCGCAGAUAUCAGGAGGAACACCAUGCGAAGGCAGCACUC